CACGUAGGGUGCGAGCGUUGUCCGGAAUUAUUGGGCGUAAAGAGCUCGUAGGCGGUGUGUCGCGUCGACUGUGAAAUCCCGCGGCUCAACUGCGGGUCUGCAGUCGAUACGGGCAGGCUAGAGUUCGGUAGGGGAGACUGGAAUUCCUGGUGUAGCGGUGAAAUGCGCAGAUAUCAGGAGGAACACCGGUGGCGAAGGCGGGUCUCUGGGCCACUACUGACGCUGAGAAGCGAAAGCAUGGGGAGCGAACAGG
rnacentral:rRNA from 1 species